CAGGUGGACCCUGCUGUGAUGCACAAAGAGGACCACGCAAGAUAUGAUAAAGAUCUAUGUCACUGAAUUUUGGUUCAAUUUUUGUAUCUCAGCUUCCCGGAAAUAAAAAAGAAUUCUAACAUUCAUACUUUCAGUAUUUUAUGUGAGAGGUUUUGUUGUCAAAAUCAAGUCUGAGAGCAAUGUUUAUUGGGGUCUUUAAUUGGAGUCACCAAGCGAUAAAGGGGACAUUGUCCUCAACAAUAAAACUAUA